rnacentral:rRNA from 1 species
CCUACGGGUGGCAGCAGUGGGGAAUUUUGCGCAAUGCUCGUGAGACUGACGCAGCGACGCCGCGUGAAUGACGAAUGCCCUCGGGUCGUAAAGUUCUUUCUACAGGGAAGAAAAUGCAUAUAAGUUACUGUGUAUGUAUUUACGUUACCUGUAUGAGCAGCCCCGGCUAACUCCGUGCCAGCAGCCGCGGUAAUACGGAGGGGGCGAGCGUUGUUUGGUGUGACUUGGCGUAAGGGGCACGUAGGCGGUGUUGUAAGUCAUUAGUCAAAGACUAGAGCUCAACUUUAGUAAGGCUAGUGAUACUAUCAGACUUGAGUAUAAGAGAGGAAGGCAGAAUUCCUGGUGUAGCGGUGAAAUGCGUAGAUAUCAGGAGGAAUACCGUUAGCGAAGGCGGCAAUCUAGCUGGACACUGACGCUGAGGUGCGAAAGCGUGGGUAGCAAACAGGAUUAGAUACCCGAGUAGUC